AUUCCAGCUCCAAUAGUGUAUAUUAAAGUUGUUGCAGUUAAAAAGCUCGUAGUUGGAUUUCUGGCGGGAGCGAUCGGUCCUUCACUCAGUGUUGGAACCUGAUUGUCUCCUGCCAUCCAUGGAGAAAACUUAUCUGGCAUUAAGUUGUCGGGUAGGCAAUCUCCAUCUUUUACUGUGAAAAAAUUAGAGUGUUCAAAGCAGGCUUAUGCCGUUGAAUAUAUUAGCAUGGAAUAAUAAGAUAGGACUAUGGUACUAUUUUGUUGGUUUGUGCACCAUGGUAAUGAUUAAUAGGGAUAGUCGGGGGCAUUCGUAUUCAAACGACAGAGGUGAAAUUCUUGGACCGUUUGAAGACGAACUAAGGCGAAAGCAUUUGCCAAGAAUGUUCUCAUUA
rnacentral:rRNA from 1 species